rnacentral:rRNA from 1 species
UACAGAGGUCUCAAGCGUUGUUCGGAUUCAUUGGGCGUAAAGGGUGCGUAGGCGGCGCGGUAAGUCGGGUGUGAAAUCUCGGAGCUUAACUCCGAAACUGCAUUCGAGACUGCAUUGCUAGAGUAUGGGAGAGGGAAGUGGAAUUUCCGGUGUAGCGGUGAAAUGCGUAGAUAUCGGAAGGAACAUCAGUGGCGAAAGCGACUUCCUGGACCAAUACUGACGCUCAUGUGCGAAAGCGUGGGGAGCAAACAGG